rnacentral:rRNA from 1 species
GACGAACGCUGGCGGCGUGCUUAACACAUGCAAGUCGAACGGGAUUUAGUAGACAGAAGCUUCGGUGGAAGAUUACUAAUGAGAGUGGCGAACGGGUGAGUAACGCGUGAGCAACCUGCCUAUGACAGUGGGAUAGCCUCGGGAAACCGGGAUUAAUACCGCAUAAAAUCGUAGAAACACAUGUUUUAACGGUCAAAGAUUUAUCGGUCAUAGAUGGGCUCGCGUCUGAUUAGCUAGUUGGUGAGAUAACAGCCCACCAAGGCGACGAUCAGUAGCCGGUCUGAGAGGAUGAACGGCCACAUUGGAACUGAGACACGGUCCAAACUCCUACGGGAGGCAGCAGUGGGGAAUAUUGCACAAUGGGGGAAACCCUGAUGCAGCGACGCCGCGUGAACGAAGAAGGUAUUCGUAUCGUAAAGUUCUGUCCUAUGGGAAGAUAAUGACAGUACCAUAGAAGAAAGCUCCGGCUAAAUACGUGCCAGCAGCCGCGGUAGUACGUAUGGAGCGAGCGUUGUCCGGAAUUAUUGGGCGUAAAGGGUACGCAGGCGGUUUAAUAAGUCGAAUGUUAAAGAUCGGGGCUCAACCCCGUAAAGCAUUGGAAACUGAUAAACUUGAGUAGUGGAGAGGAAAGUGGAAUUCCUAGUGUAGUGGUGAAAUACGUAGAUAUUAGGAGGAAUACCAGUAGCGAAGGCGACUUUCUGGACACAAACUGACGCUGAGGUACGAAAGCGUGGGGAGCAAACAGG